CCCAACUAUCCCUAUUAAUCAUUACGUCAAUCCUAGAAACCAACAAAAUAGGAUCAAACGUCCUAUUUCAUUAUUCCAUGCUAAUGUAUUCAAGCGUUAGCCUGCUUUAAACACUCUAAUUUUUUCAAAGUAACAGUCCUGUUUCCCUGCAACACCAAAUUAAUGACAUUACAGUUCUUCAAGAAGGAGGAACCAGUAAAGCCAGUACAUACCAGAGGCACGACCAACCUACUAAUCCCGAAAUUCAACUACGAGCUUUUUAACUGCAACAACUUUAAUAUACGCUAUUGGAGCUGGAAUUACCGCGGCUGCUGGCACCAGACUUGCCCUCCAA
rnacentral:misc_RNA from 2 species